GAAUUCAUGACCAGCCUGGGCAACAUAGCAAGACGUCGUCUCCAUAAAAAUAUUAAAAAAAAAAAAAAAGAACUCCAGAUGAAGGCCAUAAUGAUCUCACUCAUGUAAACCUCCACACAUGCUUGAACACGCACAGACCCUGCUGGUGUCAGGUAGACAGCAGAUGUGCUGUCAAUGGAGGUCUGGUCACUACUGAUCAAGGGGAUAUUUUGAAGUUGAGCUUAAACACACACACGCAUACACACAUAUAUACACACACACACAUACACACUACCCGCACUAGGGGCUCACAGGAAACCUGAGCUGGAAUGGGACUUCCCUCGACCCUGAGGAGGCGGCUGAAGCUCUGCUGCUCCUGUGUCUGGCUCACACAUCAGGAGGUGCCGGUGCCUGUAAACACUGCCUUACAUGGAAGUGCACAGGGCCUUGGCACAUUCUUCUGGAAUGUUUUGAGUGUGAAAGAGGCAGUGACUGAGCCAACUGAGGGGCUGAGGAAAAGAUACGCUACGACGUGUUGCCUGUCCUGUUCCGUGAAGCCACUUGGAACCUCCUAUCCUUGGAUAAAGACCCUCUGAACUCGGCAGGAGUGGGGGAGUGUGUACGUGUGCGCAGUCUCUUUCUGCUAACCCGUAGCUCGCCUGCACCGCCACUGAGCUCCGUGUCCUGUCCAGGGGAUCAAACUCUGUUGUGCUUCUGCCCAGCAGCAAAGAGAGAGAGACAUCUACUGAGUCCCAGCAGGGGGAAGAACGUGGGGACGCAUUAAAGGAUUUCAUGCUUCAAA
rnacentral:lncRNA from 1 species